ensembl:lncRNA
GAGAGACGAGAGGCAAACACUGUACCGGCGUGAAAGACAAAAUGGUGGAUUAGGGCUUGAUAAGUCUUGAACGUUUUGACUUUUGUCGAAACAAGAUAUGAGACGAGGCAAAGAGGUUCAAGAGGAUAGGCUCCAGGUUCCCUGCGACCCAGUAAGGAUAAGCUGUACAGAAAAUGUAUGGAUGGACGGAUAAACCACACUACUUACGGGGACAGCACAGGGAUCCUGGAGCAGAGACGAGCGUGCUGCCCUGAGGACAGUAACACAAACGCAUGGAUGGGGUGACAGCGUGCCACAUCGUACUCCGGCUGCAGUGUGCCACCCGAUGCUCCCCAAAGCAGAUGGAGACACUCUUUAGGGAGCGAGGGACGCAGAGACAGGAGUGCGCACUUACAAAUGAGCAGAGUUUUAUGGUUUUAUUGCUCCUGAUGU